GUAGUAGGGUGGUGUAGUAGCGGCAGCGAGGGGCUCGCAGAGGUACUCGGAUUCUCGUAGCUGUGCCGGGAUUUAACCACCACCAUGUCAAGCAAAAGAGCAAAGACCAAGACCAAGAAGCGCCCUCAGCGUGCAACAUCCAAUGUGUUUGCCACAUUUCACCAGUCACAGAUUCAGGAGUUCAAAGAGGCCUUCAACAUGAUUGAUCAGAACAGAGAUGGUUUCAUCGACAAGGAAGAUUUGCAUGAUAUGCUUGCUUCAUUGGGGAAGAAUCCAACUGAAGAGUAUCAGGAUGCCAUGAUGAAUGAGGCUCCAGGCCCCAUCAAUUUCACCAUGUUCCUUACCAUGUUUGGUGAGAAGUUAAAUGGCACGAAUCCUGAAGAUGUCAUCAGAAAUGCUUUUGCUUGCUUUGAUGAAGAAGCAACUGGCACC